rnacentral:rRNA from 1 species
GUGAAGUGACUUGCUCAUGGAGCUGAAAUCAGUCGAAGAUACCAGCUGGCUGCAACUGUUUAUUAAAAACACAGCACUGUGCAAACACGAAAGUGGACGUAUACGGUGUGACGCCUGCCCGGUGCCGGAAGGUUAAUUGAUGGGGUUAUCCUCGCGGAGAAGCUCUUGAUCGAAGCCCCGGUAAACGGCGGCCGUAACUAUAACGGUCCUAAGGUAGCGAAAUUCCUUGUCGGGUAAGUUCCGACCUGCACGAAUGGCGUAAUGAUGGCCAGGCUGUCUCCACCCGAGACUCAGUGAAAUUGAACUCGCUGUGAAGAUGCAGUGUACCCGCGGCAAGACGGAAAGACCCCGUGAACCUUUACUAUAGCUUGACACUGAACACUGGUCCUUGAUGUGUAGGAUAGGUGGGAGGCUUUGAAGUGUGGACGCCAGUCUGCAUGGAGCCGUCCUUGAAAUACCACCCUUUAAUGGCUGGUGUUCUAACGUUGGCCCCUAAUCGGGGUUGCGGACAGUGUCUGGUGGGUAGUUUGACUGGGGCGGUCUCCUCCUAAAGAGUAACGGAGGAGCACGAAGGUCAGCUAAUCCUGGUCGGACAUCAGGAGGUUAGUGCAAUGGCAUAAGCUGGCUUGACUGCGAGCGUGACGGCGCGAGCAGGUGCGAAAGCAGGUCAUAGUGAUCCGGUGGUUCUGAAUGGAAGGGCCAUCGCUCAACGGAUAAAAGGUACUCCGGGGAUAACAGGCUGAUACCGCCCAAGAGUUCAUAUCGACGGCGGUGUUUGGCACCUCGAUGUCGGCUCAUCACAUCCUGGGGCUGAAGUAGGUCCCAAGGGUAUGGCUGUUCGCCAUUUAAAGUGGUACGCGAGCUGGGUUUAGAACGUCGUGAGACAGUUCGGUCCCUAUCUGCCGUGGGCGCUGGAGAAUUGAGGGGGGCUGCUCCUAGUACGAGAGGACCGGAGUGGACGCAUCACUGGUGUUCGGGUUGUCAUGCCAAUGGCAUUGCCCGGUAGCUAAAUGCGGAAGAGAUAAGUGCUGAAAGCAUCUAAGCACGAAACUUGCCCCGAGAUGAGUUCUCCCUGAC